rnacentral:misc_RNA from 1 species
CGUUCGUGGCAGAUGCGUGAGCGCAUCUUGCUGCUUGAGCGUGCCGAUACCGGAAUUCGAGAAACGAUAAAAGCCGCUGCGCCUCUUCCCUCCCUCCGUUUGCGUGAUACGCACACACACGCACACACGCAGCACAGCGCGUAGGCGCCCUUGACGACUGAUUCUAGUCAUCGCGGCAGUGGGCCGCUUGCUGCGCACCACAUUUACGGCUCUCUCUGUCCUUGAGAAUUCUUCAGCCGUUUCGGAGCUGUCCCGCCUUCCUGCUAAGGCUCUCUCUCUCUGCAUGCGUGUAUGUGAGCUACGCUUGAGCAGACUCUUCACCACCUCCACGCCUUCGCACACGAACACAUACAUCGACUCACGCAAGUUUCUUGGCAGGGGGUGGGGCUGGGGACCGGCCAUUCCUCUUUGUAACACUGCAGCUGUUCUGCACUCUGCUGGGGCCAUCACAUCUGCGGUUGCUACUUCUGCUUCGGGAGUCCGUCAUGGCGCACUCACUCAGCGGAGAUGCUCGCGCCGGCGAAGAGUGCCUCUUCGUUGAGAGCAGGAUAGAAUCGGACGGCUACAUCACCAUCAUCGCGGAGUCCUUCCGCAGAAGCUACGUGACUAUCCGCCCUCGCUUGACGACGCUAGCGGAGGCCAUCUCGCGCCCUUCACUGAUGCACGAGUACCGCCUGACGCCGUUCUCACUCGGCGCCGCCGUGUCAAACGGGAUCGACGCUGCUGAGGCGACCGCCUUCUUGGAGACCUACGCUUACGGGCUUGCAGAGAGCAGUGAAAGACGGCAGCUUGUGCGCCAGUUCAUCGAAUCCUGCAUGAUGCGCUACAACCUUGCCCGCAUCAUUAUCGAUGCGGAAAGGACCCUCGUGCAAUGCAAGAAUGAGGAGACGGCCCAGAUGCUGCUACGCGACGCCGUGAUCGCGUCGGUAGCCGUAACGCCGCUUCGCAUAUUUUACGAGAAGAGCUCCUGGGAGGAGAGCCCAGCGCCUUACCCUUCGUUCCUGCUGCAGAGCAGGGCGAUGUCAAAGGUGGUGGCCGCCCAAUGCGUGGUGCUCGGCCUCCCCAUUCAGCAGCAGUACGACUUCGAGAACGACACAUCGGUUCGCACGGCGCACAUCUCGCUGCGCACGCAGACAAAGCCGCGCCGAUAUCAGAUCGAGGCGGUCGAUGCCGCCAUCCACGACGGUACCCUCAACAGCGGAUGCCUCCUCCUCCCCUGCGGUGCUGGAAAGACGCUGCUGGGCAUCAUGCUCAUGUGCAAGGUGAAGAAGCCGACGCUGGUCGUGUGCGCCGGCAGUGUCAGUGUUGAGCAGUGGAAGAGCCAAAUUCUCGACUAUGCCACAUUGGAAGCACCACCGCCGACGGACGACGGCGAUGCAGCUAACGCCCACAGCGGUCGUUCCCACCAAAUCAAAAACGGCGCUGCCCGCAUCGCGUGCCUGACAGGCAAGCAGAAGGAUCCCAUCACCGAGGAAACGGACGUUGUGCUGACAACCUACAGCAUGCUGGUCACGGCACACAAGGCCAAGAUGCGCCAGCAAGCGACAACAACGUCCAGCGAGGACGGCCUGUUCACGGAGCGGGGUCUCCGCAAGCGGAAAGAGAACCCUAAAGAGAAGCUCUUCGCUCCGUAUGGCUUGUUGAUUCUGGAUGAGGUACACGUGAUGCCAGCGGAGAGCUUUCGCGGGAGCCUCGGCUUCGUGGACGCCAAGGGCGUCAUCGGCCUCACCGCCACCUACGUGCGCGAAGAUCACAAGAUCCUCGACCUCUUCCACCUCGUCGGGCCGAAGCUGUACGACAUAUCUAUGGAGACCCUCGCGUCACAGGGGUACCUCGCCAAGGUUCACUGCGUCGAGGUGCGCACGCCAAUGACGAAGGAGUUUGGGCUCGAGUACAUGCACCGCAGCAGCAAAACGGCACGGGCGAGGACGGCGCCGGUGCUGGUGAUGCUGGCUGCGGCGAACCCGAACAAAAUGAUGUGCGUGCGGGAGCUUGUGCGGCAACACCUCGACGCCGGCGCCAAAAUCCUUCUCUGCUGCGACCACAUCACGCUUCUGAAGGAGUAUGGGGAACUGCUUAACGCACCGGUGAUAUGCGGCACUACGCAGCACAAGGAGCGGCUGAUGAUCUUCUCCGACUUCCAGAGCACUUCGAAGAUCAACGUGAUCUGCGUCUCGCGCGUUGGCGACGUAAGCGUGAAUCUGCCCAACGCAAAUGUCGUGAUUCAGGUGUCCAGCCACGGCGGCAGCCGCCGUCAGGAAGCCCAGCGACUAGGCCGCAUCCUGCGGCCAAAGGAGCGCGCCGCGAACGGGAGGACGGUGGAUGCAUGGUUCUACUCCAUUAUCAGCAUAGACACCGUCGAAAUGAACUACGCGGCUCACCGCACCGCCUUUCUCGUUGACCAAGGGUAUACGUGCCGCGUCAUGGAGUACAACCCUUUCACAUCAUCGGUCGACACCGCUUUAGGAGGUGUGAAGCAGCAGGUAAAGAAGCAUCGGAUUGGCGACGUGGUGAGCAUCAAGCAGGAGUCUUUAUACGAGACGCUGCACCAUUCAAGUGUGUUGCAGCCGCGAUCCGGCGAGCGCUCCGGGCGUGGUGCCGACGCUGGCGACUGUCGCACCGAGUCGCUCUCAUAUCAGCUCGAGCUCCUUUCAAAGGUGGUCUCCAGCUGGGAAAUUGAAUUCCAGCAGGAGUGCCGCAAGCGCCGCCGCACCGCCGUGAGGGACGCCGACGACAACGCCGCUAACGAGACGGAGAGCGCUGACGACGUGGUGGAGGCUCGACCGAUUCGUACCUAUGCCGCCAUCAAAAGUGAGUGGCGGAGCGGCGCUGACUCCGCGGCUCGUGUUACGGCGCUACGCGACCUCGUUGGUGUCGAUGAUGGAUUUGUGUACCACGAGCUCUAGCCCCACGUGUUGUGCACACGUGCCUGCUUACACUGGCUAAGAUGGAGGGGGGUGAGGCACCCUUUUUUUUUUGUCUUUCCUUCUCUCUUGUGUUUUCUUCACGCAGGGCCCCUUUCACACUCUAUUCGAGGCACGCGCCCACCCGCCGGCAAUCCCAAAGUGCACUCAAGCAGGCUUCGGAGGGGGGGGUGCAGCGGAGGCACACUUGCACUGACGAUGGGCAUGCCUACUCGCUUCCGGGGAGCUCAUCACGUAGCUCCGCACAUGUGCAACUUGCAUCAACAACGAAAAAAA